GAUGAACGCUGGCGGCGUGCCUAAUACAUGCAAGUCGAGCGAACAGACGAGGAGCUUGCUCUUCUGACGUUAGCGGCGGACGGGUGAGUAACACGUGGAUAACCUACCUAUAAGACUGGGAUAACUUCGGGAAACCGGAGCUAAUACCGGAUAAUAUAUUGAACCGCAUGGUUCAAUAGUGAAAGACGGUUUUGCUGUCACUUAUAGAUGGAUCCACGCCGCAUUAGCUAGUUGGUAAGGUAACGGCUUACCAAGGCAACGAUGCGUAGCCGACCUGAGAGGGGGAGUGGCCACAGUGGAACUGAGACACGGUCCAGACUCCUACGGGAGGCAGCAGUAGGGAAUCUUCCGCAAUGGGCGAAAGCGUGACGGAGCAACGCCGCGUGAGUGAUGAAUGUCUUCGGAUCGUAAAACUCUGUUAUUAGGGAAGAACUAAUGUGUAAGUAACUAUGCACGUCUUGACGGUACCUAAUCAGAAAACCACGGCUAACUACGUG
rnacentral:rRNA from 1 species